rnacentral:rRNA from 1 species
UACAGAGGGUGCAAGCGUUAAUCGGAAUUACUGGGCGUAAAGCGUGCGUAGACGGUUACGUAAGUCGGGUGUGAAAGCCCCGGGCUCAACCUGGGAAUUGCAUUCGAGACUGUGUAGCUAGGGUGCGGAAGAGGGAAGCGGAAUUUCCGGUGUAGCGGUGAAAUGCGUAGAUAUCGGGAGGAACACCAGUGGCGAAGGCGAGUCUCUGGGAUGAUGCUGACGCUGAGGCGCGAAAGCCAGGGGAGCAAACGGG